GGGAAAAGUGAGCUGUGGGAGAGUGGGACCAGGAUACCCAGAGGAAACUGCUGGCCAGGAACCACCAUCAAGUGAUCUCUUUUUCUGAGAGGAAAAGUUUUUCCUGAACCAUCGCAGUGAUUCAUGAGUCAGUUCUAAGGUAUCUACAUGAGAAUUUUCUGUGCAGGUGGAGAGACUGCAGUGUCACAGAACGCCCGUGCUUCUUGACUUCUUUGGUCAUAUUAGAGUACUGGGUCAUAGAUUUUUAUCUUUUAUAAUUCUGGAGAAAAAAAUUGUUAGUUUUGUAAGUUUUCUUAAGAACAGAUAUAUGUAUUUUAAUAGCUCCAUUGCAUUAGAGCAGUUUAACUUAGUGACAUGUGAAAUCUGUUAUCUCCAGGCCAUAGGUGUUGAGAACUAUCAAGUUUAAAAAAAGGGGGUGGGGGGGGAGAGUGGCAACCUUUCUGCUGUCAGAGGGAAGGACUUGAAGUUGCAUUGCUGAUUCCAAAAGCUGGCUCUUAAAAAUUUUUUUUUCUAGCCCAAAGAAAAGAAUAGUGUUAAUUGUUAGUAAUAAGCCCAAGUUAGAGUACUAAUUUAGGAUUAAGUACUGAGAUCUUAUGAUUGACUUUUAGUUUAGCCUCACAUGACUUGCAGGGAGAAAUUUGAUAGUUUUGCGAUUUCUCCAGCUUAAAUGUGUAUUUUGGUUCUUCUUUUUCUUUUUUCUUUUUUUAAAGUUAGUUGAAUUAUUUUUACCACACAUUAUAGNCUGCAUGUAUAGCUGGGAAAACGUAUAAUACCCUACAUUAUAAAUAUAAUGUACACUUACAUGACUUUAAAUAUAAGCUAUUUAAAGAAAUUCAUAGUUGGUUUUACUUGCCUUUUAACUCCACUUUGGGCUUCUUUUCUCUCAGAGGGAAGCGCAUGCUCUAACUUGACUUGCAAACGUUUGUCGUUUGCAGGUUGCUCUUGAUGUUAACUCUGAUUGUUAGCUAGACUUUUGUUACCUGGAAAANUUUGGACAUAAAAUUAAAUAAAUGAUACCUGUGAAGUUUGUAUAUUAGGUGGAUUGAUUGAAUUUUUUCCUGUAAUUGAGUAUGGGCUACAUUUUGAAAAGCCACAUUUGCCUUUAUGCUGGACUUUUAAAAAAUGACAAUGUGUAAGACGUUUUCCCUUUAUAUGUUAAACUUUUCUUAGCAUUUUGUAUUUAUAUUUUAUCACUUUGUGAUUUUAAACUACAAUUCAGUGAAAUAUAGUGAACAAGUGAGAAAUAGAUUGGCCUUUAUCUUAUACUACCAGGGAAAAUUUAAAUUUUCUCAUAAACACUUUGCUGCCAGAAUUCAGUAUAUACCAAUGGUAUAUACAAUAAUAUUCCACAUUCUGUUUUCAGGCUAAUAAAUGUUAAUGUAGUCUAAUGUUUGUCUUCAGGAUCUGUAUUGUAAACAAAAUAUUGACAGUGGCUAUGUUUCAAGGAGUGAGUAUUUUUAAACACAUGACUUCUGUUGUAAUAAUCAAAGGUGUACAUAAAAAUAGAUUUGUCAACAUGGAACUUAAAGUUGAAAAUCCAAGAAAUUAGAAACACUGAUUUUUUUUUAAUNAGGUGAAACAUAUGGGUAAACACAAAUGAAUCAAUAAAACCGUGUUACGACAUUCUA